AGAGUUUGAUCCUGGCUCAGGACGAACGCUGGCGGCGCGCUUAACACAUGCGAGUCGAGCGAUAACCAUGGCUUCGGCCAUGGGGAGAGCGGCGAACGGGUGAGUAACACGUGAGUAAUCUGCCCUCGACACUGGGAUAGCCCGGGGAAUCUCGGAUUAAUACCGGAUAGCCUCUCGAGCUUACGAGCUCGUGAGAAAAGAUGGCUUCGGCUUUCGGUUGAGGAGGAGCUUGCGGCGGAUUAGCUUGUUGGCGGGGUAACGGCCCACCAAGGCGACGAUCUGUAGCUGGUCUGAGAGGACGAUCAGCCACACUGGGACUGAGACACGGCCCAGACUCCUACGGGAGGCAGCAGUGGGGAAUCUUGCGCAAUGGGCGAAAGCCUGACGCAGCGACGCCGCGUGAGGGAAGAAGGCCUUCGGGUUGUAAACCUCUUUCAGGAGGGACGAAGCCACUCGGGUUAAUACCCCAGAGGGUGACGGUACCUCCAGAAGAAGCCCCGGCUAACUACGUGCCAGCAGCCGCGGUAAUACGUAGGGGGCAAGCGUUGUCCGGAUUUACUGGGCGUAAGGGGCGUGCAGGCGGUCUGUUAAGUCUAGGGUGAAAGCUCCCGGCUCAACUGGGAGAGGUCCUUGGAUACUGGCGGACUUGAGGGAGGCAGAGGAGAAUAGAAUUCCCGGUGUAGUGGUGAUAUGCGUAGAUAUCGGGAGGAAUACCAGUGGCGAAGGCGGUUCUCUGGGCCUUACCUGACGCUGAGACGCGAAAGCGUGGGGAGCGAACCGGAUUAGAUACCCGGGUAGUCCACGCCGUAAACGAUGGAUGCUAGCCGUUGGCAGGUUUACCUGUCAGUGGCGCAGCUAACGCAUUAAGCAUCCCGCCUGGGGAGUACGGUCGCAAGAUUAAAACUCAAAGGAAUUGACGG
rnacentral:rRNA from 1 species